UACGGAGGGGGUUAGCGUUGUUCGGAAUUACUGGGCGUAAAGCGCACGUAGGCGGACUGGAAAGUUGGGGGUGAAAUCCCAGGGCUCAACCCUGGAACUGCCUCCAAAACUAUCAGUCUAGAGUUCGAGAGAGGUGAGUGGAAUUCCGAGUGUAGAGGUGAAAUUCGUAGAUAUUCGGAGGAACACCAGUGGCGAAGGCGGCUCACUGGACCGCUAUCGACGCUGAGGAGCGAAAGUGUGGGGAGCAAACAGG
rnacentral:rRNA from 1 species